UUUCCUGUUAUUGCUGGAGUUGUACUACAGUAGAGCAAGGCUGAAGGGAGAUGAGGAAUGCUGAAGAGUAGCCUACUUUGGCCCCAGGCCACAGCUUUUAUCUCUCAGCCAUACCUGUUUUUCCAUACCAGAAAAGAAUAUAGCCACACCAGUUCUCAGUCUUUUUAAUUCCAAGGCCCCCCAUUGUCCAAGACGAUAUUCAAAGCCCAUCUGCACAAUCCAGCUAUGUUGCAGUGGUCAAAAUUGUCCGAGUGAGACCUCAGAUGUGUAGUUUCACCCGAGUGAGAAAUAUGUUGUCAGUUUACAUGUUGUAGAUCUUGCAUUUAUUAACAGUUUGAAGCAUUUUAAUUAAGUUUGAUUUAAUAUAUAAGUAGUCCUGUGAAUUAGCUGAGGAGCCUGGUUGAGAAUUACUGUGCUUUACUGAGGAUCAGACUAGUUUAGUGUCGGCUUUUAUUAGGAAUCUUACUACCCCCUCCUGUUUAAAAGUUGAAUUACAUUUUCACCACCCCGCUCUUAAGUGUUUGAUGUGUGUUUGCAUUAUUUGAACUAAAAAAAAAAAAAAGCUUGUAUUGCCAUCCAGGGUUGGUCUAUUGUCAUUAUCAAAGUUGUUGACUGCUUGGAUGCUUGCGAAUGCAAUUUUUGUCAUGAAUGAAGCAUAUGUUCUAUCUUAUCCAUGACAGACUCUGCAGGUGUACUGCUGUGAGCUGACCAUUCACAAAGAUUUCUUAAUGAAGGCCAGUUUGCAUUUUCAGAAUCCAAUGAGUGUUCUUGUCCUUUUGCCUGAGUUAACCCGCAGCAGACUGCUGCUACGUCACUGCGCCAAUCUGUCAGGCUUUGCUGUUGACCCAUUGACGCAAACACAGGCCAGUCUGAGCGUAUUGAACUGGCUUUCCUUAACUGCAAGAAGAGAGACUGAUGUUGAACGAGAAAUUGUUGAGUCUGCAAGAUAGGAUACAAAAAUCUGAUACAGACAGUGUACUGGGAUGAGCUCUGGAAAUAGCUGUGAGAGUCUCAGCGACUCGCCUAUAAGCCUGAUAAAAGUGGUGGGACCAACAACACCCAGAAGAGGACCACAUACAUUCAAACUGAGAAUCACAAGGCAAUUCAAAAGCAAACCUCCCAAGAAGGGAGUCAAAGAAUUUGGAGAUGAGAUCCCAGGAAUGGAUGGUCUUAGGACUGACAUUACCGUGGUGUGUCCGUGGGAAGCCUUUAGCCAUCUGGAGUUGCACGAGCUCGCCCAGUAUGGUAUUAUUUGAACUGGACUACAGGAAGAUGCGUCACCUGGAUUUGUUUAGUGGACUAGACUAGUUCCACCUCUGGACCUGCAAAUGGACACUUGCACCAUUGCCUUGAAACAGUCACCAGCCUAUGAAUGCACAAUACAUAAUGUAGUGACUUGGAGGAA